UACGUAGGUCCCGAGCGUUGUCCGGAUUUAUUGGGCGUAAAGCGAGCGCAGGUGGUUUAUUAAGUCUGGUGUAAAAGGCAGUGGCUCAACCAUUGUAUGCAUUGGAAACUGGUAGACUUGAGUGCAGGAGAGGAGAGUGGAAUUCCAUGUGUAGCGGUGAAAUGCGUAGAUAUAUGGAGGAACACCGGUGGCGAAAGCGGCUCUCUGGCCUGUAACUGACACUGAGGCCCGAAAGCGUGGGGAGCAGACAGG
rnacentral:rRNA from 1 species